AAGUCAGUUCAGGCAGACCCGAAACCGGGUGAUCUACCCAUGUCCAGGUUGAAGUUUCCGUAAAAGGAAAUGGAGGACCGAACGCACAUCCGUUGAAAAGGGUGGCGAUGAGGUGUGGGUAGGGGAGAAAUUCCAAUCGAACCCGGAGAUAGCUGGUUCUCCUCGAAAUAGCUUUAGGGCUAGCCUCGUAUUAGUUUAGCGGAGGUAGAGCACUGAAUUCUUAAGGGGGCGUCAAAGCUUACCAAGAGAUAUCAAACUCCGAAUGCCGCAUAAAUGAUGUACGGGAGUCAGACUGCACGAGAUAAGUUGGGUAGUCAAAAGGGAAAGAGCCCAGACCUACAGCUAAGGUCCCAAAGUGUGUGUUAAGUGGAAAAGGAUGUGGGAUUUCAAAGACAACUAGGAUGUUGGCUCAGAAGCAGCCACACAUUCAAAGAGUGCGUAAUAGCUCACUAGUCGAGAGGUCCUGCGCCGAAAAUGUCCGGGGCUGAAACACAACACCGAAGCUUAGGAAUUGACGUAAGUCAAUUGGUAGAGGAGCAUUCUUAACUGCGAAGAAGCGUUACCGUAAGGAGGCGUGGAGUGUUAAGAAGAGAGAAUGCCGGAAUGAGUAGCGAGAUGGAGGUGGGAAUCCUCCAGGCCGAAUAUCUAAGGUUUCCAGAGUAAAGCUGAUCUGCUCUGGGUAAGUCGGGGCCUAAGGCGAGGUCGAAAGACGUAGUCGAUGGACAACAGGUUGAAAUUCCUGUACCGCGUAUUAUCAGAACUGUGGGGACACAGAACCGAAGCCAAACCCGGGAAUGAAAAGACCGGGGCAAGCGCCGGACUGGUUAGACUGGAAAAUCCGUCUAACAACAGGAAAGCGUGACGCGUACCGAACAAAAGUAGGGAAGUUGGUAUAGGGCUGUCAAGAAAAGCCGCUAUUGUGUAAUACGUGCCCGUACCGUAAACCGACACAGGUGGAUGAGGAGAGAAUCCUAAGGCCGGCGGGAGAAGCAUUGUUAAGGAACUCGGCAAAAUGGCUCCGUAACUUCGGGAUAAGGAGCGCCCACGAGAGUGGGCCGCAGAGAAUAGGCUCAAGCAACUGUUUAGCAAAAACACAGGUCUAUGCAAAACCGAAAGGUGAGGUAUAUGGGCUGACGCCUGCCCGGUGCUGGAAGGUUAAGAGGAGAGGUUAGAGCAAUCGAAGCUUUGAAUUUAAGCCCCAGUAAACGGCGGCCGUAACUAUAACGGUCCUAAGGUAGCGAAAUUCCUUGUCGGGUAAGUUCCGACCCGCACGAAAGGCGUAAUGAUUUGAGCGCUGUCUCGACAAUGCACCCGGUGAAAUUGAAGUACCAGUGAAGAUGCUGGUUACCUGCGCCAGGACGGAAAGACCCCAUGGAGCUUUACUCCAGCUUGAUACUGGGAUUCGGUGUCGCAUGUACAGGAUAGGUGGGAGGCAGUGAAGGUAGGACGCCAGUCUUACCGGAGCCAUUGUUGGGAUACCACCCUUGCGAUAUUGGGUUUCUAACCUGCGGCCAUGACCUGGCCGGGGGACAAUGUCAGGUGGGGAGUUUGACUGGGGCGGUCGCCUCCGAAAGUGUAUCGGAGGCGCUCAAAGGUUCCCUCAGAAUGGUUGGAAACCAUUCGAAGAGUGCAAAGGCAUAAGGGAGCUUGACUGCGAGACUGACGGGUCGAGCAGGUACGAAAGUAGGACUUAGUGAUCCGGUGGUAUAAAGUGGGAUUGCCAUCGCUCAACGGAUAAAAGCUACCCUGGGGAUAACAGGCUUAUCACUCCCAAGAGUUCACAUCGACGGAGUGGUUUGGCACCUCGAUGUCGGCUCAUCGCAUCCUGGGGCUGAAGUAGGUCCCAAGGGUUGGGCUGUUCGCCCAUUAAAGCGGUACGCGAGCUGGGUUCAGAACGUCGUGAGACAGUUCGGUCCCUAUCCGGCGUGGGCGUAGGAUAUUUGAGAGGAGCUGUCCUUAGUACGAGAGGACCGGGAUGGACUGACCUCUGGUGUACCGGUUGGGUAUCAAACCCAUGGCCGGGUAGCCAAGUCGGGAAGGGAUAAACGCUGAAGGCAUCUAAGCGUGAAGCCCCCCUCAAGAUGAGAUAUCCCAUCGCAAGAGUAAGACCCCUUGAAGACGACGAGGUAGAUAGGGCAGAGGUGGAAGCAUGGCAACAUGU
rnacentral:rRNA from 1 species